rnacentral:rRNA from 1 species
UACGUGGGUGGCAAGCGUUAUCCGGAUUUAUUGGGCGUAAAGGGAACGCAGGCGGUCUUUUAAGUCUGAUGUGAAAGCCUUCGGCUUAACCGGAGUAGUGCAUUGGAAACUGGGAGACUUGAGUGCAGAAGAGGGGAGUGGAACUCCAUGUGUAGCGGUGAAAUGCGUAGAUAUAUGGAAGAACACCAGUGGCGAAAGCGGCUCUCUGGUCUGUAACUGACGCUGAGGUUCGAAAGCGUGGGUAGCAAACAGG